rnacentral:rRNA from 1 species
UACAGAGACUGCAAGCGUUAUUCGGAUUCACUGGGCGUAAAGGGUGCGCAGGCGGCCAAGUGUGUUAGGCGUGAAAGCCUGAGGCUUAACCUCAGAAUUGCACCUAAAACUACAUGGCUAGAGCAUUGGAGAGGGUAGCGGAAUUCACGGUGUAGCAGUGAAAUGCGUAGAUAUCGUGAGGAACACCAGAGGCGAAGGCGGCUACCUGGACAGAAACUGACGCUGAGGCGCGAAAGCUAGGGGAGCGAACGGG